CUGGGCCCUUCUGGCAGUUGGCAGAGGGAGGGUGGGGGCAGCGAUGCAGGCAGGCAGGCUAACGCAGAAAGCACACGGUGUGUAGGAGCAACAGGUGAUAAGUGCAUAUGAAAACAAGUCUGAACCUUCCUGCGCUAGCACUGGGGAUGGAAGUAAAAAUAAAUCGAGGAGUUAAAUCAAGGAUCUCAAGCUGAGACAUGAAAAGUGGUGUUCUUGGAUGUGGAAACUGGAGAGGAGGCAUUUGCUGGGGAGAUGACGGUGUGAAGGUUGGCACGACCCUCUCUGAAUGGAAGGACAGUGAGAACAGGCACCAGAGCGCUGACAGCAGCCUUCUAGUCUAGACUCACCGCCGUUCCUAAGGCUCAGGCUUUCAACUUCCCACUUCUCCUCAGAGUGACAAUUUUGGAGAGAGCUGCCUGUUUUGGCCCCAGACUCCUGAUCCUCAUCCAGACCUUACGUUUAUCAGAGUCCAGAUGGAGAAACCCGGGUCCCAGUGAUGACUUCUCUGGAUGCCCUGCACAUAGCUGAUUACCCAACCCUACCUGGACUUGUUGCUUAGACCACUUGCCUCAAUGGCUUAAUGAUACAGGCAGGAAGGGAGCCGGCACACUUUUCACAGAAGUCAACAGUAACAAGAGAGCGGUGCUAAGAAUUCCGCCAAACCAUGUUUGUUAUCUCCACUUCUUUUUUCUUAGAUAACUGCAUCUUCCCAACUUUUCAGUUAUUCUGAGUGAUAGAACCGACCCUGUCCUCUGCUCUCUGUGUCACGGGCUGCUUCUAUGCAGCCAAUGCUCUGUUGCUUUCGAGCAUGGAUGGAACAGCAGAUUACGCUGUGAAGAGAACAAUUCCUGGUUUGGUCCAAAUAGGUUCAGAUUAGGCUUUACAAACAGGCACCCCCAAAACCCCAGAGCCCUGACCCUGGGAGCUGACUCCACUCCUGCUUUGUCUACACAUCUCUGGGCAGCUUCUUGGCAACCCAGGCUGCAUUUCCUGCCAUCUCGGUGUUCUCAUGAGGAACAUGGCCAAAGGAAGAGAUUGCCACAGACUGACAUCAGGCUUUUCAGUUUCUACCAGAAAGUAAAUGGUGUCAGGCAUGCUCACAUUCAAAUGAACAAAUCCUCCCAGGAGGUAGAAAAUACAUCCCUACUAUGUGUCUUCAGGAAAACUGAAGAAGAGCAUUGGUGACUCCCAAGGAUGACUGAGACAGCUCUGUCCUGCAGCUCUCGCUCUCCUAUUGGCUGAUCUUGUGCUCUUCCUGCUGACAGACCCACAAAUCAGGAAACCAAGCUCAUGGCCUCAUUCUAGAGGGAAGCAGUGGGAGUGUUUAAAAUGUAAAUUAUUACAUAAAAGUGAGUGUGGUGUAAUUCCCAUUUCCAGUAAUCACAUCUGUCCUCGUAUGAACAAAAUAAACUUCCUGGGGUCCUGUGCACUGGCCCAGCGGA